ACAGGGAUUGCCCUAGUAACGGCGAGUGAAGCGGCAACAGCUCAAAUUUGAAAUCUGGCUCUCGGGCCCGAGUUGUAAUUUGUAGAGGAUGCUUUUGAUGCGGUGCCUUCCGAGUUCCCUGGAACGGGACGCCAUAGAGGGUGAGAGCCCCGUCUGGUUGGAUGCCAAAUCUCUGUAAAGCUCCUUCAACGAGUCGAGUAGUUUGGGAAUGCUGCUCUAAAUGGGAGGUAUAUGUCUUCUAAAGCUAAAUACCGGCCAGAGACCGAUAGCGCACAAGUAGAGUGAUCGAAAGAUGAAAAGCACUUUGAAAAGAGAGUUAAAAAGUACGUGAAAUUGUUGAAAGGGAAGCGUUUGUGACCAGACUUGGGCUUGGUUAAUCAUCUGGGGUUCUCCCCAGUGCACUUCUCCAGCUCAGGCCAGCAUCAGUUUUCCCCGGGGGAUAAAGGCGGCGGGAAUGUGGCUCCCUUCGGGGAGUGUUAUAGCCCACCGUGUAAUACCCUGGGGGGGACUGAGGUUCGCGCAUCUGCAAGGAUGCUGGCGUAAUGGUCAUCAACGACCCGUCUUGAAACACGGACCAAGGAGUCGUCUUCGUAUGCGAGUGUUCGGGUGUCAAACCCCUACGCGUAAUGAAAGUGAACGCAGGUGAGAGCUUCGGCGCAUCAUCGACCGAUCCUGAUGUUCUCGGAUGGAUUUGAGUAAGAGCAUACGGGGCCGGACCCGAAAGAAGGUGAACUAUGCCUGUAUAGGGUGAAGCCAGAGGAAACUCUGGUGGAGGCUCGCAGCGGUUCUGACGUGCAAAUCGAUCGUCAAAUAUGGGCAUGGGGGCGAAAGACUAAUCGAACC
rnacentral:rRNA from 1 species